rnacentral:lncRNA from 1 species
CGAACCAAAAAGAUGAAAAAUUUUAGUCAAGAAAAAAAAAGCAAAAAAUGAAAGAAAUCAAUCGAUGUAUACCAACGGCAUAACAAUCGCCCCUGAGAGAAAGUUGUAGACAUUUGAAAAUAUCAUACUUAUAAGGGAGAGAAGUCAGAUGAGCAAAAUACAAUUGCUCCCACUCAGACAAGCAGGGGAAAAUAUUACACUCGGAGUCAAUAUCUUCUUAAGCUGUGUCAAAGCCCCAACUCUGUUCUCCCCUCAAGUGAAUAACAGCAAAGCUUUCGACCCAAUUAUGGAUAGAAUCCUU